rnacentral:rRNA from 1 species
GAUGAACGCUGGCGGCGUGCCUAAUACAUGCAAGUCGAGCGAACAGACGCGGACCUUGCUCCUCUGACGUUAGCGGCGGGCGGGUGUGUAACACGUGGAUAACCUACCUAUAAUCCUGGGAUAACUUCGGGACACCGGCUCUAAUACCGGAUAAUAUAUUGAACCGUAUGGUUCAGUAGUGAUAGACGGUUUUGCUGUCACUUCUAGAUGUAUCCGCGCCGCAUUGGCUUGUUGGUAAGGUAACGACUUACCAAGGGGGCGAUUCGUAGCCGACCUGAUCGAGGGAUAGGCCGCAUUGGAGCUGAGACAGGGACCAGAGUACUACGGGACGCAGCAGAAGGGAAUGGGCCGCAGUGGGGGGAAGCCUGACGGAGCGAGGGCGCGUCAGUGAUGGAGGUCUUGGGUGCGUAAAGCCCUGUUAUGGGGGAUAAACAACUUUGGAAGUAACUAUGCACGUCGUGACGGUACCUAGUGAAAAAGCAACGGCUAACUACGUG